UACGUAGGGGGCAAGCGUUGUCCGGAUUUACUGGGCGUAAAGCGCGUGUAGGCGGAAGCGAAAGUCCGGUGUGAAAGCCCCCCGCUCAACGGGGGAAGGUCGCUGGAAACUGCGCUUCUUGAGGGCGGCAGAGGGAAGUGGAAUUGCUGGUGUAGCGGUGGAAUGCGCAGAUAUCAGGAGGAACACCGGUGGCGAAGGCGG
rnacentral:rRNA from 1 species